AAUAUUUGAAAUUUCUUACAGUUUAUCAUUGUGAGUUAAUAACUAUAUUUAUAAGUUUUUAAAUAAAAUUUCAGGUUAGGGUGCUUUGCGAAAAAGCUAAGGAGGUUUUAAUGGAAGAAAGCAAUGUUCAGGCCAACUGUUCAAUCUGUUCAAAGCUCACAAAGAUCCUAGACAAAAUCCAAUUGCUUAUUCUUGCAAUAGAUUGAGAAAGACAAGCUACUUCUUCAGUAUUGUGGUAGUAAUUACUGUACUGUUUUGUCUCGUUCUCAAGCCGAUAAUAAUUUUUUAGUGUAGCUAGUAGAAGUAAACAGAUUGUUGGCUUCGAGGUCGGCUAGUUAUUUUGUGGUCUUUUGUUUUAUUUGUGAAUAUCACUAUCUACUUUGAAACAGAAUUAGUGUUAA